GUCGAGUACAUCACAAUGAUGGCUGAUCCAUGCAUCUGCCACAUGCCUCUGAUGGGGCCAGGGUGAGCCAGAGACGCCUUUGAGUGCAGGAAUGCCCCUGGGUCAUGUCUGCCUCCUCCCAGCCCUGAGCACUAUCUGUCACUAGCCAGGCGUCACGCAUGGAGGGAAGAGAUUGUUUGCCCAGCAGAUGGUCCAGUCUCAGGCUCAGCUAUGGUUGGUGGACAUUUCUUUUGAGACCCAGAUUGAGACUUUGAGCUCAGCCGGACCAUGGUGGCAUACGCAGGAUCCCAGGUACCCAAGGAAGGGAUGGCCGGGCUGACCAGGAAGCAGAACAAGGCAUAUUCUCAGACUCGAAGUAGCUGCCUGCUGAUAAAGGAGAUUAAGUCUUCCUCCCAGUCCCAGUGAAGUCGCACUCUCACUUCGUAUUCAGCUUCAGAAUCACCAGCUGUAGAAGACUUUGCUCCAUCUUCUUUGCCAAGUCUUUGCUGUUGAAAGUUACUGCUUACAAUACCAUCAACUAUAUCUCAAUGUAUGUUUGAUUAUACCAUGUAUCUUUCCUCUUUGUAUUACAAACAGGCUCCAUAUGUAAUAGAUAAUGAUAAAAUAAAUAAAUGAAAUGAAAUAAAAAAUUAAAAAAA
rnacentral:lncRNA from 1 species